CAAACGGCUCCUCUGUGUGUAUAUAGAAUGUGGCCUGGGCUAUACAUACACUCAAAAACCUGAUUCUCUUCUCCACAGGACCACAAACAAGAUCAUCUCUCUCUCUCUCUCUCAACGUCUUAGGGUUUUUUUCUCCCUCUUCCUGUGAAAGCCUUGUUGGCUUUGCACUUUGCAGAGAGGAAGGGAAGGGAGUGAUAUACACGAUUGUUGUGUAGGUAUAUGCAAUGGCUACGGCACCGGUGCAGUCUCAGCCACUGCACAACUUCUCGCUGCCGUUCUUGAAAUGGGGAGGCAAGAGCCACACCAACACCACCAGCCGCUACCGCCGAACCGUAUCUCCAGCAUCCUCCGAGCCCGAUUCUGACUACCACGAUUCCGACCCGCCGCCCCCGCGGGUAGGAUCCAGGUCCGCACGCAACCGGUUCGGGUUCUCUCCCUGCUCCAUCUCCGACCGAUCUCAGAAGCCGGAGCGAGGAGAGAGCUGCGCGGAAGCCGAUGACGGCGGAGAGAGGAAGCGGGAAGCGACAGAGGAGGAGGAAGCGGAGGCGCAGAAGCCGUGGAAUUUGAGGCCGAGGAAGGCCGCGCAGAGGAGCGCGAUGAUGGAGAUCCGGGCGGAGAGUGCGGCGAUAGCGAUAGCAGGGGUUCAGCAGCAGCAUCAGAGCGAGAACGUGCAGCCAAAGUCGCUGCGGCUGAGGGGGGCGGCAGAGUCGCAGAGCACAGAGAAGAGGAAGUUUUGGAUCGCGCUUUCCAAGGAGGAGAUCGAGGAGGACGUUUUCGUUAUGACUGGCUCCAGGCCCGCUCGCCGGCCCCGGAAGCGCCCCAAGAACAUCCAGAAACAGCUCGACAAUGUUUUUCCUGGGAUGUGGUUGGUGGGGACGACAGCUGAUUCUUAUCGGGUUGCCGAAGCUCCGGCGAAGAGAUAGAUAUGCUCGUAGCUCAUGCUUACUAAAAUUCCUCAUACGAAGAGGUAGAUACGACCACAGCAAAUUGUGAUUAGUGAAAGCCUGGAGAGGUUCAGCGUCAUUGUUCCCGCAAAAUUCAGACCUCGAUUGGAGCUAGCUGCUGCUAGUCUGUGGUGGAACAGUUGAGACUUGGGUUUGAGUUCCAUUGUCAGCAUUGACAAUCAUCUUCAACGGUUUCCUUCCUGGCUUGCUUGCCUGAGAGGGGAGAGAAUGGGAGGAACUAUUGUCUCUCUAUCUACAUAGUUUCUUAGCUAUCCCCAGGUCAGCAUAUCCAUGUGUGUAUCCCUUGCUGCCCUCUUUGCCGUUUGAGGUAAUGGCAUGCAUGUAUAAUGAUGACAAAUUGUAGAUUGCAUCUGACUUAGCAGUAUGUAGUGCGGAAAUGGUGAAACAGCUAAUUUUAUCAACUAAAUUGCGACGUGGAUAAAUAAUCUCUCUUUUUUUUUUUCUUCUUCCCUCCAAUUUUUGUCAUAACAUUGGAUGGUGGAUGAUAUAAGCCAUCGAUAUAGCAUCUGAAAAUCGUAGA